CGAGAACUGCGUGUGUGUGUUUCUUCAACCUUCUCCCGUUACUUCCCCUUUUUAAGUUUUACAUAAUAAACCAACACUUUUAUCUGUUCCCAAGAAAGUGGUGGCUGAAAUAUGUGCAAGGACAGUGAAGAAACCCUCUCAGAUGACUGUCCUUUGGAGGAAUUACUUGUAAGUGCACAAAUAACUUUAUUUAAUUUAUAGGUGUGGACACAUUAUUUCUGACUGC